UUAGAGCCCUGUUAGGGAGAAAGGGGAAGUGCUGGUAAGCAGGACGUGUCACAUACGGACUCUCACUAACAGGACAGAGGUUAGGGAAGAAGCUGUUCCACAAUUUGAAAGAGAAAAGCUUAGAUCUACAAGGCCCAGGUGAAAUGAGCAGGUGCAGAGCAGGUGGAACGCAGGAACGGAAUCUAAUGAGAGCCAGCAGGAGCCAGGUUACCCGAGACCCUCCAGAGAUCCUGACAGCCAUUAUUUUGCUGUCUUGAAAUCCGCCAUGACGUGGACAGAAAGCUAUGAACAGGUUACAGAAGCUGCAAUUUCUACACCGCCACUGAUGUACAUCACAGGCUACAAGAGGUCAUAAAAUGAAAUGGCCCCCCAAUAACAAGUAGAAUUUAAGGCCAGGCAGAUCAACGCUUCAUAACACGGGAGAGCUCAGAAGGAAACCUUGAGCUGAAUCACUGAGAUGGGACACUGGAUCAUCCCAUUUUAAGCACUGCUGUGGCCAUUUGCCUGGGCCAGUACUUCACUGACAUAGCUGAUUAUCAUACUUCUGUAAGAGAGCCUC